rnacentral:rRNA from 1 species
GAUGAACGCUGGCGGCGUGCCUAAUACAUGCAAGUCGAGCGAACAGACGAGGAGCUUGCUCCUCUGACGUUAGCGGCGGACGGGUGAGUAACACGUGGAUAACCUACCUAUAAGACUGGGAUAACUUCGGGAAACCGGAGCUAAUACCGGAUAAUAUAUUGAACCGCAUGGUUCAAUAGUGAAAGACGGUUUUGCUGUCACUUAUAGAUGGAUCCGCGCCGCAUUAGCUAGUUGGUAAGGUAACGGCUUACCAAGGCGACGAUGCGUAGCCGACCUGAGAGUGUGAUCGGCCACACUGGAACUGAGACACGGUCCAGACGCCUACGGUAGGCAGCAGUAGGGAAUCUUCCGCAAUGGUCGAAAGCCUGACGGAGCAACGCCGCGUGAGUGAUGAAGGUCUUCGGAUCGUAAAACUCUGUUAUUAGGGAAGAACAAAUGUGUAAGUAACUAUGCACGUCUUGACGGUACCUAAUCAGAAAGCCUCGGCUAACUACGUG